rnacentral:rRNA from 1 species
UACGUAGGGUGCGAGCGUUGUCCGGAAUUAUUGGGCGUAAAGGGCUCGUAGGCGGUUUGUCGCGUCGGGAGUGAAAACCAGGUGCUUAACACCUGGCUUGCUUUCGAUACGGGCAGACUAGAGGUAUGCAGGGGAGAACGGAAUUCCUGGUGUAGCGGUGAAAUGCGCAGAUAUCAGGAGGAACACCGAUGGCGAAGGCAGGUCUCUGGGCCACUACUGACGCUGAGAAGCGAAAGCAUGGGGAGCGAACAGG